AGGGUGAGGGGGAGGGAGGUGGAGAGAGUGAGUGAGUGAGUGAGAGGCGCUGUGAGGCGGGCGGGAAAAGGGCGCGAUGUGGGGCCGGGGUGAUGGGGACAAGAUGGGGGGAGACGUGGUGAGGCCAGGAUGGGUGUUAAGGUGAUUGUGGGUAAUGAGAGUGAAAGAGGACGAUAAAGUGAUGAGACUGAGGUGAUGGAGCUGAGGUAGAGGGACUGAUAUGGGGAUGAACUGAGUGGGGAGAUUGAGGUGACAAGAUGGAGCUGAGAGAGCGAGGGCAGUGUGGGGCUGAGGUGAGGGGGGAUGGACUGGGGGUGAAGGAGUGGGGACAGGGGCUGUGUGGGGCUGAGGUGACGGGGGUGAGAUGGGGUUGAGGUAAUGAUGACAACAUGGGGCUGAGCUGGGAUAAAUGAGGUGGUGGGGACAAUGCAGAGCUGAGCUGGCAAACAAGAUGUGCACUGAGGUGGUUAUGGACCACUGGGGUGAAAUGCUGGUGUAGUGAAGGGACAAAGUGGCACUGAGGUAAUGGCGAGAUGAGGUGAUUGGGGGUGAACUGGGGCUGAGGCAGUGGGGUAAGAAUUGGGACACUGUGGUGAUGGGGACAAGAUGAGGUGACUGGGAUGAGGUUGGCACUGAGGUGACUGAGGGGCUGCCUGGUGGAGCAGGAUGACGGGUGCAGGGAGAGCACAGACCCAUCUCUGCCAUGUAAAGACAGCAGCACCAGCCCUGCAGUGGGGACCAUGGGAAAUGUUUGUCACAAGUUUUAAAGAACCAGCUAUGGAGCAGUCUACAGAACGCUUGGCUCGGGCUGAGCUGCUGCAUAGUUGGAAGUCUCUGCUGAGCACGGAGCUAAAGAGUGUACUGAGGAGCCAUCUACUGGCUGCAAUAACUGAGAACAGCUCGCAGUGCCCGCCUUGAGCAGAAACACAGUGAAAUCUCUGCAUGCUCUUCUCAAUGGCUGAGAAAAAUCUCCAUCAGACAUGUUAACAGGAGCAAGGAGAAGCAUCACACUGACAUGGAAGAAAGGGUUUCAUGAUGAUUUUUUCUGUAACGUUUUCUGAAAAGUAUGUCAGAGCCUCAGCCAAGGAAGUGCGUGGAAUUUGUACCCAUGGAGACUCCAAUAACACAGCCAGCUCCAAACCCACAGGAUUAUUGGUGUUGUUACCUAACAUAUCAGGAACAGCGUUACUGGAAAAAGGGGAGAAAGAGAUUGAAAAUCUCAUCCCUUUCAAACUGGACAGUACCAAGGUGGAUCUGCUGAAUGAGCCUUGUUGUAAGAAAGCUGUGGGUGAAGAAAGAGAAGAAACAAGGCCUGGUGGUGAGGUGGCUGCUCAGCUUGAGAACAGAGUAAAUCUCCAUGCAGAUAUCCUGGGGAAACCCCUUCAAGUGACUGACAGCAAAGUGGAACUACGGCCUUUCCUGCACAGAGCUGCCACGUCUGGAGCAGUGCUGCGUGCUGAUUCUGCUGAGUGAGUGCCUGCUCAAAUCAUAGCCCCGGGUGUGUUGUCUUCUGCAUCAUCAAUUUCUCAAUUUGCUGCUGGUCAAAUAAAGGCUCUCUUCUGUGCUUUUGGCUGGACUUAAAAAAACAAAUCUGUUAAGAGUUGAUUUUCCGACGCCAUCCUGGAAUUUCCCAAUGGCACCAGAAUGCACAUCGUUGUGUGCCAACACACUGCCUACGUGUUUCUUCAGAAAGAAAGUGAAUUCAGGGCUGCACUUCUUCUAAUAUUACAGCACAGUCCUGUCAUGCAAGCUCAUCACAGCACUGCUGCUUUCCUUUCAGCCUUAUCUAAACUGGGAGAAAACAGGUGAGCCUAAAGAUGAGAGAAAGAAAGGACAUCCAGCCCUUCCCUUUGCCCUUUAUGAAUUUCCACUGAGUGGCAGCAAGUUUCACAACCGUUUGCAGCAAAAUGCACAGCGCUGUAAGGCUGGAGGCAGCAUGCAAUCCCUGGUUACCUGUGUGCACUGUGCUCUGCUUAGAGAGGUGGCUGCUGGUCUGAGUGAGCCCAGAAGGCCAGUGGAUUUGAGCCGUACUCUGAGCAAGUUGCUGGUCUCAACCUCGUGUCUUCCCCCAGCCGUUACUAAUUUUUUAGCAUGGGCAGAAAUCCAAAUGUUCUCUGACCCCAGAAAUUUCCUUUCAGCAGAAUUAAGGAACUCAGUAUUUAUCUGGAGUUUUACCUGCUUGGUUUGGCUGUGUCUGGCUGGAAAUCCCGGGCAUUGUGUACUGCCAUGGAAAGAGCAGUUCUGCUGCCUUGGCUGAUAUGGGUCUGUGUGCCACACCCAGCAUGGAGAGGUGCCUCCUCAACCCACAGGAACUGGGAGAGGAUGGGUCCAAAGCUUGGAUGUGCCCAAAGACUGUCAUAUUGAUAUAACUGAAUCAAUACAGUGUGUCAACACAGCUUCUGUAUGGAGGCAACACUGAAGUAAUUAAACUCCCAGUGACUGAAUAGUUCUGGCAUAAGAUUCUAGCAGGGAAAUUCCCUUCUGUAAAACAUGGAAAUUCCUUUCUGUUGCAAGGAGUAUAAAUGACUCUCUCACUUUUCCAUACAACUACAGACAGGUUAGAAGAGAAAAACCAGCAAUCCUGGGAGGGAGUGACAGACAGGGUCAGUGGGGUGAUAUGGCAGGAAUGAAACAGAAUAUCAACAAAGCAGGGCUUAAGUGGAGUCACCUCAGACACGUGUAUGUAAGGAAAGAAGAAAUCUCACAAACCCUUUCUAGAAAGUCUAUGCACUGGGGUACAUUUCUGAAGCCUGUGUGUAUUAAUACAGGAAAUAAACAUGGUGAGUUAGAGAUAGGUGUGCAGUUGCAGGGCCACAACCCUGUUGGGAUCACACAGAUACGGUGGGAUGGCUCCCACAGCUGGAGUGCUGCAGUGGGCAGAGACAAGCCUUUUAAAAGGAACAGUCAGGAAGCAGGUCAUAAAAAACCCAGGUGGUUCCUGGAGUGUGUCAACAACAGCUUCCUCACCCAAAGGAUAGAGGAGCCACUAAGGAGAGGUGCUUUGUUGGAGGGUGAGGUCAAUGAGCAUCUCGUUUAUGUUACUGUUUAGUCAGUGCAGCAGCAUUCGCUGGGACUGCAGAAAAGAAAUGCCCAAAACAAAACUGAAAAAUCCCUACCCCUAAGCUGUUACUACCACUUCUAAAAAGGUCUUGUGUGAAGGCAGCUAUGCUGGCAAAAUAGAAA